rnacentral:rRNA from 1 species
GACGAACGCUGGCGGCGUGCUUAACACAUGCAAGUCGAACGGAAAGGCCCUGCUUUUGUGGGGUGCUCGAGUGGCGCACGGGUGAGUAACGCGUGAGUAACCUGCCCUUGACUUUGGGAUAACUUCAGGAAACUGGGGCUAAUACCGGAUAGGAGCUCCUGCUGCAUGGUGGGGGUUGGAAAGUUUCGGCGGUUGGGGCUGGACUCGCGGCUUAUCAGCUUGUUGGUGGGGUAGUGGCUUACCAAGGCUUUGACGGGUAGCCGGCCUGGGAGGGUUAACGGGCACAAUGGGACUGAGAUACGGACCAGAAUCCAACGGGAGGCAGCAGGGGGGAAUAUUGCACAAUGGGCGGAAGCCAGAGGCAGAAACGCCGCGUGCGGGAUGACGGCCUUCGGGUUGUAAACAGCUUUCGACUGUGACGAAGCGUGAGUGACGGUAAUGGGUAAAGAAGCACCGGCUAACUACGUG